CUCCAAUAGCGUAUAUUAAAGUUGUUGCGGUUAAAAAGCUCGUAGUUGGAUCUCGGCGGGCAGGGGGUGGUUCGCUCUUCAGCGCUACUGCCCCGCUUUGCCCGUGUGAUUGGCGGAGGUUUCGGGGUGCUCUUCGUUGAGUGACUCGGAGCGCCGUCAGGUUUACUUUGAAAAAAUUAGAGUGCUCAAAGCAGGCUUUUCACGCUUGAAUAUUCGUGCAUGGAAUAAUGGAAUAGGAACUCGUUUCUAUUUUGUUGGUUUUCGGAAAUCGAGUUAAUGAUUAACAGGGACAAUUGGGGGCAUUAGUAUUCAGACGACAGAGGUGAAAUUCUUGGACCGUCUGAAGACUGACUACUGCGAAAGCAUUUGCCAAGAGUGUUUUCAUUAAUCAAGAACGAAAGUUAGAGGUUCGAAGGCGAUCAGAUACCGCCCUAGUUCUAACCAUAAACGAUGCCAGCUAGCGAUCUGCCGAGUUUUUUUUGUAGGCUCCGCAGGAAGCUUUCGGGAAACCAAAGCUUUUGGGUUCCGGGGGAAGUAUGGUUGCAAAGCUGAAA
rnacentral:rRNA from 1 species